rnacentral:rRNA from 1 species
GACGAACGCUGGCGGCGUGCUUAACACAUGCAAGUCGAACGAAGAGCGACGGAAGCUUGCUUCUAUCAAUCUUAGUGGCGAACGGGUGAGUAACGCGUAAUCAACCUGCCCUUCAGAGGGGGACAACAGUUGGAAACGACUGCUAAUACCGCAUACGAUCUAACCUCGGCAUCGAGGAUAGAUGAAAGGUGGCCUCUACAUGUAAGCUAUCACUGAAGGAGGGGAUUGCGUCUGAUUAGCUAGUUGGAGGGGUAACGGCCCACCAAGGCGAUGAUCAGUAGCCGGUCUGAGAGGAUGAACGGCCACAUUGGGACUGAGACACGGCCCAGACUCCUACGGGAGGCAGCAGUGGGGAAUCUUCCGCAAUAGACGAAAGUCUGACGGAGCAACGCCGCGUGAGUGAUGACGGCCUUCGGGUUGUAAAGCUCGGUUAAUCGGGACGAAAGGCCUCCUUGCGAAUAGUGAGAAGGAUUGACGGUACCGGAAUAGAAAGCCACGGCUAACUACGUG